rnacentral:rRNA from 1 species
UACGGAGGGUCCAAGCGUUAUCCGGAAUCAUUGGGUUUAAAGGGUCCGUAGGCGGUUUUGUAAGUCAGUGGUGAAAGCCCAUCGCUCAACGGUGGAACGGCCAUUGAUACUGCAAGACUUGAAUUAUUGGGAAGUAACUAGAAUAUGUAGUGUAGCGGUGAAAUGCUUAGAGAUUACAUGGAAUACCAAUUGCGAAGGCAGGUUACUACCAAUAUAUUGACGCUGAUGGACGAAAGCGUGGGGAG